CCUACGGGUGACAGCAGUGGGGAAUAUUGCACAAUGGGGGGAACCCUGAUGCAGCGACGCCGCGUGAGCGAGGAAGUAUUUCGGUUUGUAAAGCUCUAUUAGCAGGGACGAAAAAAGACGGUAUCUGACUAAGAAGCCCCGGCUAACUACGGGACAGCAGCCGCGGUAAUACGUAGGGGGCAAGCGUUAUCCGGAUUUACUGGGUGUAAAGGGAGCGUAGACGGCAAGGCAAGGCAGGAGUGAAAGGGCAGGGCUCAACCCUGUACAUGCUUUUGGAACUGGGUUGCUAGAGUGCAGUAGAGGUAAGUGGAAUUCCUAGUGUAGCGGUGAAAUGCGUAGAUAUUAGGAGGAACACCAGUGGCGAAGGCGGCUUACUGGACUGUAACGGACGUUGAGGCUCGAAAGCGUGGGGAGCAAACAGGAUUAGAUACCCUUGUAGUC
rnacentral:rRNA from 1 species